UUGAGAGCAGAGACUUUAGACUUUUUCUUGGAGGAUGAAGGAUCUGUGAUGGUAGCCGCCUGACGCUUGCUACUACCAACAAGUUGGACCUCUUCAUCUUCAAAAGGAGCAGUUUGCUUGGCUGCAGCCUUCCUCGCGGACAUCGCCUCAAGAGCUUUCUUAUAUUCCGCCAAGGCCUCAUCACCUCUAGAACCUGACAUCACGCCUGAAAGAUAGAACCAACCUGGCUUGAAUUCGUAGAAGGAAAGCAGGAAAAGCUAAGAUAGAAAAGCUUACCUCUAAUGCUACACCGA
rnacentral:lncRNA from 1 species